rnacentral:lncRNA from 1 species
UUGGUUUAAUCAUAAGGAGAGAUAAUGGUGGUGAGAAGCGUCUUCCAUCUUCAUAACUAAUCUAUUGAAUCAACCCAAAGGAAACUAAGUGUCAAUGAUCAAUCCCAACAACUAAAGUGGAUCAAAUUCUUCAACUAGAUCUUUCUUAUUAUUUAUUUCUCUUUAUUUUUAUUACUUGCCUUAUUUUUAUUGCUUUCAGUUUUAGAUUAAUUAAAUCAAUCUCAAAACCCCCCAUUUUACUUACAGUUUAGUUGGUUUCAGUUUUAUCUCAUUUUAGUUUAUUUUGCUUUCCGUUUAUUUCUCUUUCAGUUUUAUCUCAUUUCAGUUUUAUCUCAUUUCAGUUUAUCUCGUUUUCAGUUUUAUCUCGUUUCAGUUUUAUCUCGUUUCAAUUUAUCUCGUUUUCAGUUUUCUUGUUUUGCAGUUUAUUUUUAUUUCAGUUUAUUUUAUUGGUCUUGAUAAGGAAAAUAGGUAAGUCUUCAAUUCCCUGUGGAUUCGAUCCUUUCACCACUAUCUACAGUUGUAAAUUGUUGAUAACCAGAAAGGUUAUUUUUGACCGGCUUCGACAACCGCGAGUCAAUC